AACCUCAUGACUUCAAUCCACAUAACAAACAGUGCACGACAUGUCCGCCUCCUGACAUUCUACUUCACGCUUGUACGAUGGCGUGGGGUGUCCGUGUCACCUCCGACGUCUCAUCACCUUCCAAGCUACCACAGUUGUUCUUCAUCGUGUUUCCGAGCCCCUAUGUAUCGACUCUGCCAUUCGGAUUUAGGUUGGCAAUCCGCACCUUUCCCUCACAGCCCAUAGCGAUAUUGGAAAAUCCGAUCGUUUCCGUCGAUUCCUAAUCCUCGUCGAUCGCGAUCGGUAUGGACGCAUACCAGUUUUCCCGGGUACCUGACAACGCGAGAGCCUAUUUAAAAUCCAGAGAACACUUUGAAAUUUCAUUCAUCGACGGCGACUCUGAAAUCCAGCUCGAUCGACGAUUCUGAAAUCUAGCUCGAUUGACGACUCUGUCAUCUUACCUUUCUUCUACGAAUCCUCCUUUCCUUAAUAAAUUUAGUUUCAUCCUCGCUUGAUUUCAUUAUGUCUUCCAGCUCCGACGCAAAAUAAUUCCGACAUCCUCCGAUUUCAUAAAUUCUUCAUACCGUCUAUAUCUUAAAUUGUAUUUCACAUUCUUCUACAUGGCAACUGAUCCAACAAUAACUAGCAGGUCAAGACAUAUUGAUAUUGCAUAUUAUUUUGUAAGAGAAUUACUAUAGAAAGGUGCACUGCAAAUCAAAUAUGUUCCUACAGGCCGGAUGCAAUUAGCUGAUGGCUUCACCAAAGUACUGGGAACUGAAUUAUUUUGUCACCAUAGAAAUAGGCACAAGUUGAUUGCCACAAGCUAGCACUAAAGUAUCUGCUCCAAGUUCAUCUGGUUUACUCCCUGCUGAACUUGCGGAAGGAUCUGAAAGAGGAAACAGUACCAGGUUAAUCGGAUUGAUUGGGCAUUCCAUUUACAGGUAUUUUUCAGUUUAAUUUCCUUCAAAGUUCUCUCAUUCACGAUUGUUCAUUCUGCUGUCCCGAUUUAGGGUUUCGCUAACUUUCAUCUUCUUCCAUUCUGCUGCUCCUUUGUUCGUCGGCAAAUCACUGCUUCUCUAUUCUUGACAUCAGGUCUUGAUUGCUGUUAGUGAGUUCUUUUAUAGAAG
rnacentral:lncRNA from 1 species